AGUUGUUGGCUCAAAUUGGAACUCUUAAAAUACUUUAUCGUAGCCCAACUCUAAAUGGCUGUAAGUUGCAUUACGGCGUCGUCUGGCUGACCUAAUUUACUGUGGGGAAGAAACCGCGCCUCCCGUCGAAGAUGGUGGCAUGUAUUCUACUCCGCCGCAGUUCGUUUCUAACCCCGUGCUCGUAAAUCGAUGUUCUGGCUUACUUACCAAAGGGUAUUGUACUAAUGUCUAAUCCUAUUCGAAUGGACCGGGAAAACCGAUCGAGACUUCACUCUUGCAUAUUAUUUACGAGUUUUUGUGGCCUUUUAAAUUAAAUUUUCUGAAAAUUAAUAAUCUGGUAAUUAUGCACUGUACGAAAAUAAAAUAAAAUUGUGUAACCUUGAAAUAGAUGAAGAAUUUUAAAUGAUUUGGUAAUAUAUAUAAUUAAAAUUUCCUUCA